rnacentral:rRNA from 1 species
AACCGUGCCCCACUAGUCUGGGAUACCACUUGGAAACAGGUGCUAAUACCGGAUAAGAAAGCGGAUCGCAUGAUCAGCUUUUAAAAGGCGGCGUAAGCUGUCGCUAUGGGAUGGCCCCGCGGUGCAUUAGCUAGUUGGUAAGGUAAAGGCUUACCAAGGCGAUGAUGCAUAGCCGAGUUGAGAGACUGAUCGGCCACAUUGGGACUGAGACACGGCCCAAACUCCUACGGGAGGCAGCAGCC